GGUCCCAUCGUCUAGCGGUCAGGACGCCGGCCUCUCACGCCGGUAACACGGGUUCGAAUCCCGUUGGGAUCACCA
rnacentral:tRNA from 1 species